GCAGGAGCGUCUUAUAGUGAGAAGAAUUCGGAGACUGCCUGUGGGACACUUCUAUGCGGAACAGUUUGUCUCGUGUUGGGCCUCGGAUCGGACCCUGGAAAUGUCUCGUCCCUAGAUACUACGUUACACGGACUAUUUAUGUGCAUAUGAACUUUGGCCUGGUC